GACGAACGCUGGCGGCGUGCCUAAUACAUGCAAGUAGAACGCUGAAGAGAGGAGCUUGCUCUUCUUGGAUGAGUUGCGAACGGGUGAGUAACGCGUAGGUAACCUGCCUUGUAGCGGGGGAUAACUAUUGGAAACGAUAGCUAAUACCGCAUAACAAUGGAUGACACAUGUCAUUUAUUUGAAAGGGGCAAUUGCUCCACUACAAGAUGGACCUGCGUUGUAUUAGCUAGUAGGUGAGGUAACGGCUCACCUAGGCGACGAUACAUAGCCGACCUGAGAGGGUGAUCGGCCACACUGGGACUGAGACACGGCCCAGACUCCUACGGGAGGCAGCAGUAGGGAAUCUUCGGCAAUGGGGGCAACCCUGACCGAGCAACGCCGCGUGAGUGAAGAAGGUUUUCGGAUCGUAAAGCUCUGUUGUAAGUCAAGAACGAGUGUGAGAGUGGAAAGUUCACACUGUGACGGUAGCUUACCAGAAAGGGACGGCUAACUACGUGCCAGCAGCCGCGGUAAUACGUAGGUCCCGAGCGUUGUCCGGAUUUAUUGGGCGUAAAGCGAGCGCAGGCGGUUUGAUAAGUCUGAAGUUAAAGGCUGUGGCUCAACCAUAGUUCGCCUUGGAAACUGUCAAACUUGAGUGCAGAAGGGGAGAGUGGAAUUCCAUGUGUAGCGGUGAAAUGCGUAGAUAUAUGGAGGAACACCGGUGGCGAAAGCGGCUCUCUGGUCUGUAACUGACGCUGAGGCUCGAAAGCGUGGGGAGCGAACAGGAUUAGAUACCCUGGUAGUCCACGCCGUAAACGAUGAGUGCUAGGUGUUGGAUCCUUUCCGGGAUUCAGUGCCGCAGCUAACGCAUUAAGCACUUCGCCUGGGGAGUACGACCGCAAGGUUGAAACUCAAAGGAAUUGACGGGGGCCCGCACAAGCGGUGGAGCAUGUGGUUUAAUUCGAAGCAACGCGAAGAACCUUACCAGGUCUUGACAUCCCGAUGCUAUUUCUAGAGAUAGAAAGUUACUUCGGUACAUCGGUGACAGGUGGUGCAUGGUUGUCGUCAGCUCGUGUCGUGAGAUGUUGGGUUAAGUCCCGCAACGAGCGCAACCCCUAUUGUUAGUUGCCAUCAUUCAGUUGGGCACUCUAGCGAGACUGCCGGUAAUAAACCGGAGGAAGGUGGGGAUGACGUCAAAUCAUCAUGCCCCUUAUGACCUGGGCUACACACGUGCUACAAUGGUUGGUACAACGAGUUGCGAGUCGGUGACGGCAAGCUAAUCUCUUAAAGCCAAUCUCAGUUCGGAUUGUAGGCUGCAACUCGCCUACAUGAAGUCGGAAUCGCUAGUAAUCGCGGAUCAGCACGCCGCGGUGAAUACGUUCCCGGGCCU
rnacentral:rRNA from 1 species